rnacentral:lncRNA from 1 species
CCUAAGUCAUGACAAUGUACAACCAAUGUAACAUUCCAUGGUUUCGUGCAUCACAUGCACAAGAUUUACAAUUCCAUCAAAAUUUAGAACAUAGGAUCUAACUAAAACUUAUCUCACAAGUCUAAAGAUCAUAAAAUUUUAUAUCCAAAGUUUGAUCAUAGAUUGAUAAUAUUUUAUCAUUAACAAAAAUACAUCAAGAAUAUUGUUGGGUAUAAAAUAACCCUAGCCGAAGUUCGUAAGAGGCCAACCAUCUCAGGACUCUUCCGGCUUUCGACCUUGCAUGGCAUCUUUCUGAACUCCCUCGGUCAUCUGAGCUUCCACAGUACCAUCC